CCGGAUUUAUUGGGCGUAAAGCGAGCGCAGGCGGUUUUCUUUAAGUCUGAUGUGAAAGCCCCCGGCUCAACCGGGGAGGGUCAUUGGAAACUGGGAGACUUGAGUGCAGAAGAGGAGAGUGGAAUUCCAUGUGUAGCGGUGAAAUGCGUAGAUAUAUGGAGGAACACCAGUGGCGAAGGCGGCUCUCUGGUCUGUAACUGACGCUGAGGCUCGAAAGCGUGGGGAGCAAACAGGAUUAGAUACCCUGGUAGUCCACGCCGUAAACGAUGAGUGCUAAGUGUUGGAGGGUUUCCGCCCUUCAGUGCUGCAGCAAACGCAUUAAGCACUCCGCCUGGGGAGUACGACCGCAAGGUUGAAACUCAAAGGAAUUGACGGGGGCCCGCACAAGCGGUGGAGCAUGUGGUUCAAUUCGAAGCAACGCGAAGAACCUUACCAGGUCUUGACAUCAAAAAAAACACUCUAGAGAUAGAGCUUUCCCUUCGGGGACAAAGUGACAGGUGGUGCAUGGUUGUCGUCAGCUCGUGUCGUGAGAUGUUGGGUUAAGUCCCGCAACGAGCGCAACCCUUAUUGUUAGUUGCCAUCAUUUAGUUGGGCACUCUAGCGAGACUGCCGGUGACAAACCGGAGGAAGGUGGGGAUGACGUCAAAUCAUCAUGCCCCUUAUGACCUGGGCUACACACGUGCUACAAUGGGAAGUACAACGAGUCGCUAGACCGCGAGGUCAUGCAAAUCUCUUAAAGCUUCUCUCAGUUCGGAUUGCAGGCUGCAACUCGCCUGCAUGAAGCCGGAAUCGCUAGUAAUCGCGGAUCAGCACGCCGCGGUGAAUACGUUCCCGGGCCUUGUACACACCGCCCGUCACACCACGAGAGUUUGUAACACCCGAAGUCGGUGAGGUAACCUUUUUGGAGCCAGCCGCC
rnacentral:rRNA from 1 species